rnacentral:lncRNA from 1 species
UUUCUUCAGGAAGUGAUAAAAUAUCCCAACCCAACCAGCUCCUGCCCCAGGCAUCCUGUCAGGCCCUAUUGGCCAGAAUAGGGUAACAUGCUCUCCACACCCCCAGCCACUCCUAACAAAGAGGAAGGGGAGGACCGGGAUGGAUUUCCUGCAGUCACGAUGCAUUCCCAGGUAGCCCAUUGCAUCAGGAGACCCGAACAGUUCACAUUUUAUUCAUGAGUAUUACUGUGGUUCCGGGUAGAAGAAAUGGCUGCUGGGAAAAUACCAACAAUGUUUGUAAGGACAGUCACGGACCAAAAGUCCGCAGAGGGUAUGGAUUGUCCUUGGAGCUGAAGAAGUCACGGAAGAUAGGGAGUUCCCAUUGUGGGACAGCAGAAGUGAAUCCGAGCAUCAUCCGUGAGAAUUUGGGUUCGAUCCCUGGCCUCACCAGUGGGUCAGGGAUCCAGUGUUGCUGUGAGCUGUGGAGUAGGUUGCAGAUGCAGCUUGGAUCCUGCAUUGCUGGCCCUGUGGUGUAGGCUGGCUGCUGCAGCUCCUAUUAGAGCUCUGGUCUGGGAAGGUCCAUGUACCACGGCUGUGGCCUAAAAAAACAGUUACAGAAAAUAAAGACAGGGGUGCAGUGGUGCCGGCAGCACAUGGGACUAAGGUCUUCAGUGAUGACCACAACGACAGAGAAGGGACAAAUGACUGCCCAGGAGGAGUGAUGAGGCUGUGUCUAGGAAGGCCACAACCACCUUACCAGACGGGCGGCCUGCUCCCUCUGUUGCCCUGGACCCUCGGGUGUGAGGACCGAUCCUCUGCUCAGAGUCUAGCCUCCUCUGUCCUCCUUGCUUCAUUCUACCUGCAGCCCACCCAUCUUUCUUUGGAUCUGCCUUUCUUUGAGAAGUUAUCCUCUGUAUUGGCUAUCAGGUGGCAGAACCUGUGGACCCAAAAGGAGCAGUUGCACUGGCAGGGACUAGGUGGACUUCGGGUCGCCAUGGAAAACUCUUGGUGGAGCACAGGCAAGAGUUGGGGCGGGAGGACCUGCACCCCAUAAGAAAUACCCACCAGCUCUCAGAUCCUCGAGGGUUGUAGGCGCACCGAGACAUUCAAGCUGGGAAAUGAAGACUGUGAUAGGGCAGAGCGAGACCCAAGCUUCCCCGGGCAAUGGCAGCGUGAGCUCCUGUCCAACUGCCAAAAGAUGAGAGUUGGCAUCUUACCAGAAGGUUUGGAGGGAUAGGAUGAGAGACGCCUGGCCAUUGGCCGGAAGCGCAUGGCGGGGGAGGGGGUUGCGGAAGCUGCCUCGUGAUUGGCCCGGGCCACAGGGAUGUCACAGGGAGGCAUUGUGACUUGAGGGCAAGGCAGUUAUAAAAGCCCAGUGCUUCCACCGUCUCCCAGACGGAGGAUAUGGCUUUUCAGCUGUUCCUGCUCUUGCUCUUCAAGGCGGUGUCCUCUGCCGCCUUCUCUGCGCCUGCACAUGGCAUGCCCCAGGCCCACCUGUCCUGCCCCGGGCCUCUCACCCACACUUGGUGUACCACAUUCCUGUUCGCAUCCAGCUUUGAGCCCCUUUGCGGGCGGAUGAGCCUACGCACCCGCACCCGGCGCCUCCUCCACCCGCAGCCCUCCUCGGGCCUGGCCCAGCUCCUCAACACUGUGCUCAGGUUCUACAACAGGGGCUUGGACAUCUGGAACCAGAACCAAGCAGACCCCCACGCGGAGGGGAAGCACCCCUCCCAGCCCUGUUGGCCAAGAGACCUGGACACGUGCCACACCUCCAACUCCACACUGCACAGAAGGCAGCUGGCCACCCCUCCUCAGACAUCCAUGGACCCCAGAUCCAAGAUCUCCACCUUGGCCCUCCUGCUCCACAAAGGAGAGUCACAGACUCACAGGGCGAGUUCCUGUACCUCCUGCCCACCUCCAUGCAACCUCUCAAAGGGCUCUCCAGCCCAUGUGGGACCACCAGCCUGGGUGAGGCGACUGGUCCAGUUAGGGCCACCAGUCCUGGCAGGGCCAAAAGUCCAGGCAAGGCGACCAGCCCAGGUGGGACCACCAGCCCAGGUGAGGACACCAGCCCAGGAAGGACCAGCAGCCCAGAUGGGACCAGUGGCCCUGGUGAUGCUACCACCACAGACGGGGACACCAGCCAUGACAGAAACCCUGUGGUCACAGCUAGGCUUUGGAAACAUUGAGAGUUUGCUCCUUCUGUUGACUCGCUGUGCUCUGGUGCUGCUCUUUUCCUUCUGGACAUUUAUCUCAUGCAGAGAGAUAAAGGACUACCGUGAGUUCCAACAAGAGCAGCUGGCAGAGCUGGGCAAAGGAUUGAAGAUGAUGGGUAAAGCCCUGGGAGAACUUGAGAAGACACUAAAUGCAGAAAGAGAACAUAAAAAUCAUCUUUCCAAGGAGCUGUCUGAGCUGAAGGCAGAGCUCAGAAUUUCUGAAAAGGAAACAGAGAGAUGGAAAAAGCUGUUUUUUCUAUUGUCCCGGGCACAACACCUUUUGAAGGCCUUCCCAGAAGAUGCAAAGGGGCACUGUGUGCAGGUGGAGCAGGGCCCUUAGAGGCAGGCCCAGGCCUGGGAGCUGGAGAGUUUCUUCCUCCCUGUGCACGCCCCCUAGAGGGGGAGAAGAGGGGUGGGGAGGGAGGGCAAAGCGGAGGCUGGGGUAGGGGUGCUGGGACAGAGACGUGGCCUGAAUUUCAUGAUGUAUGUAUAUUUUGAAUAAAUAAUUGAAUGUUGGAAGGCAAAGAAGUGUCCCCAGGAGAUUGCGUCACCUGGGAUGGGGGUCACAAGUCCAUGCACCCUCCAGCUGGAUGGGUCUCAGAGCCCGUGCAGAGCUGGGCGCCGUUCCCAUGGAAGGUAACCAGCCAGAGGGGUGGCACAAGACCUCACAGAUACGUCGUGGCAGAACCGGGGCUUGGACUUGCCGUUAUGGCUCCAGCUCUGGCCGUGGGUCCUGCCUGAUGCGGGCGUUUGAUGAGCAAAGGGGAGGGGUGAGACCAGGGUAAGAGAGGCCAGAGGCAUGGGCUGUACCCCCCUGCCCCAGGAGAGGGGCUGGGACGGUGGGCUGUGCACUCAGAGACCCCGAAGCCCUACAGGAAGAGGGGAGGUGCUCCGGCUGCUCUGGGUUGGAGGCAUGGGGUGAGUGGACAGCGCAAGGCAGAGCAGGGACAAGUGGGAACAGGUGCACCUGGGACACUGGAGGGGGGGGACCACUUCCAAGAGGCAGAGCUGAGUGUUGGGGGCUGUGGGGCAGGAGCUCAGGUUAACUGGGCCCCGAGGCAGGGCUAUGCCCCACCUGAUCACAGCCCAGUCCCUGCCUUCCCCAGCCCCUGCCUGCCGCCUCUGCUGCUGCUCAGCCGCCAAUAUCGGGGCCCUGAGACCCACAAGGAAGCUCUGAGCUCCAGGGAGCCAGGCGGACCCAUAGGGCAUUGGAUAGAUGUGUAUUUAUACUUAGAGGUUCACAGGAAGGCCCCAAGCCCCCGGCAGCCAUUUCUCCCCAGCAGUGACAUCUCACAUCACUAAGGACAGCAUUCCUCCAGAGACGCCAGCGUGGUGUGUGCGUUUGGAGCUGUCUGUCUGUCACCUGUGCACCCCCGUGACCAGGGCACAGACCAAGGGCCGAGUUGCCCCAGCAGACUAAGUCCUCCCUCAAGCCAGCCAACCUGCCCCCACUGCUCCUGCCUGAAGCAGCCACCAGCCCGCUCUCCCCUGUGGGAGUCUUGUCAUCUCUAGAGUGUGGAUGAGCAGAAUCAGAGCUGUGGCCUUUGGAGAUAGGACUCGUGUUUCCCCCACUCAGCAGGAUGCCCAGGUGUCCGACCCGGUUGUCCUCCCCCGUUCUUUCCUCUCUGUGGCUGGGUGGGCUGCAUGGUUCCAGGUUUUGGAGACUCCCGUAAACCUGCAGAGAACUUAAGCUUUCCUUUUCUGGCUCGCGUGAUUUAUGGUCACCUUUUUAAGAACGUGUCACAGCGGGGAGUGCCAGCCUUCAGGUUCUGUUCUCCUUUGCAUUUCCCUCAAGACUAGUGAUGGUGAUUGUAGUUUCAUAGGCUUCUUUCCACCUUUGUAUCCUCCAUGAUGAAUGUUAAUGUCUUUUGCCAAUUUUCUCUUGGGAUCACUUGGGGGGUUUUUUGCUUUUUUGGGGGGGCGGGGGGCUGCACCCAUGGCAUGUGCAGGUUCCCAGGCUAGGGGUCCAGUCGGAGCUGGAGCUGCCAGCCUAAACCACAGCCACAGCAACCCGGGAUCUGAGCCGAGUCUGCAACCUACAACACAACUCACGGCCAUGCCAGAUCCUUAACCCCCUGAGUGAGGCCAUGUUCUCAUGGAUGCUAGUCAGGUGUGUCUUACCCACUGAGCCACAACGGGAACUCCACAUACGUUGGCUUUUACCGUUGAGUUUUGAGAGUUCUUUUGUCCGAUGUGUGCUUCGCCAACAUGUGCUCCUAGUCUGCAGCUUGUCUUUUUGUCCUAAUACAAUCUUACAGAGAAAAAAAAAAAUCGCAUUUUUGAUCAAGUCCAGUAUUAUCAACUGUCUUGUUUUAUGGAUUGCGCUUUUAGUGUCAUGUCUAAAAAGACUUCAGCGAACUAGGUCCUGAAAUUUCCUCCUGCGCUUCCUUCUGAAAGUAUUACAGUUUGACAUUUUGCUUUUAAAUCUAUCCUGUGGUCAAUUCGAGUUCACUUUUUUAUCAGGGCUGAAGCUCAGGUCAGGUGUUUUGGUUCAUUUGCUUUCUUUUUGUUUCUAGGCCUGUAGGUGUUCAUUGCUCUGGGGCGGUUUGUGGCAUGGACCAUCCUUCUCCGUUAAAUCAGUUUCACCUUUUGCAGGAAUCAGUCCUAUGAGUGUAGGUCCUGCUCCGUUGGUCCUGUGCCUUUUCCUCCACCACCACCAGAGUGUCCAGGUUUUGUUCUCCCUGGCCUCAUGGAGGGGCGGGGGCUGGCCUGGGAAAUUCCCUCCAGACACCCACAGCCCCAUGGAGAUGCAUCAGCCCCCAGCGAGCCCUGGAAACACGGCAGGUGGAGUGUGUGCAUGUGUUGGUGGCACCUGAGAGCCCUCCUCGCAGAGGACCUUGCCCCAGAGCGAGUGAACAUGUACAGGCCAAGUGGCGGGAGGAGGGGUGACACAGGUUGGAUUUCAUUGAGCACUGAACACGGCAGGUGGCCUGGUGACCUGUUGACCAUGACAGCUGAGGAGCCAACAGGGUCUUAGCCCCCUCGGCCCCAUUCCCCAGGUCUCGGGCCAGAGAGACCCGGAAACCCUGCCAGACACAGGCUUUUGCUAAGUGCAGGCACAGCUCCCAAAGUUGGGGACAGGGGACAGGGCAGAGGGUGGUGAAGGACAGCCCGCAGAUGGGUGAGCUGGUGCCAGGCGGGAGAAAGCCCAGCAGAUCCCAGGUCCUUCUGUGAAUGCAUGUCUACGUGGCCAAGAUAUUGACAGCUGGUGGUUGCAGCAGAAAUCAGAGCCAGCUCAGCCGCGGACUGGCUGGCUCACCCACCACAAGAGCAGCCUGGCCCAGGAAGGAGCCUGCCCUUUCUUAUCAAAUACGCAAAACAUAAAACAUACCAUCUGAAUUUUUGUAAGUGGAAAAUGCUACUGAAGAGCACCCCAAUCUUUGCUCCUCCCAUCGCCAGCACCCAUCUUCAGAAAGCUUUCGCCUAGUAAAUCUGGAACUCUGUCCCCACUGAACAUUGUCUGCCCCCUCCCCCAGCCCCUGGCACCCACCGUUCUGCUCUCUGCCUCUAGGCCUCUGAUGACGCUAGGGGCCUCAGGUGAGUGGAAUCCUGCCGGAUUCGUCCUUCUGUGACCAGCUCGUCUCCCUGAGCUGAAUGUCCCCAAAGUUCCUCCAUGCUGUGUCCUGGGUCCGAAGCUCUUUCCUGCUCAGCCUGAGGAAUAUUCCGUUGUGUGGCUGGACCACAGCUUGCUUAUCCAUUCAUUUGCCAGCAGACACUUGAGUUGCUUCCAUGCUUUACCUGCUGUGAGCAUAGGUGUGCCAAAUAUCAUUCUGACACGCUGACUUCACUAUUCUUCUUGGAUAGUAUACCCAGAAGUGGACUUGCAGGGUUAUCUAGUGGUUCUACUUAUGGUGUUUUGAGGACUCUCCAUCCUGUUCCAUUAGAGUUGGUUUACAGUGUUCUGUCAAUUUGCUGCUGUAGGGCAAAGUGACCCAGUCAUACAUACACAUAUGCAUUCUUUUGCUUACAUUUUCCUCCAUCCUGUUCCGUCACAAGUGCCUGGAUAGUGUUCCCAGGGCUAUACAGCAGGCUCUCAUUAGUUAUCCAUUCCAAAGGCGAUAGUCUGAAUCUAUUAACCCCAAGCUCCCAGUCCAUCCCACUCCCUCCUCUUCCCC